GAGACCAAACUUCAGGCUGUUCAACUGUUUCGGCAUAGUCUUGAGCACGAUCGAGACUAACAAUGUCCUCAACUAAUACCUUCAUAGCCUGUUCAUGCUUGUUGUGAAUCUUGUAAAUUCUGAAAGCCUCUUCAUAAAGGCCAUUUUCAAUAGCAAUUUCGGCAAUCUCAUCGACAUCGUACUUAUCCAACUUAUCGAUAUACUCCAUA